rnacentral:rRNA from 1 species
GUCUACAGCCAUGCUACCCUGAACAAGCCCGAUCCCAUCUGAUCUCAGAAGCUAAGCAGGGUUGGGCCUGGUUAGUACUUGGAUGGGAGACCACCUAGGAAAACCCAGUACUGUAGGCA